GGUCUGCCCAAGAACACGUUCUUCAUGUCAGACAAGUCCUCCAGCAUCUCCUGGAGAACCAAUUGUGUGUGAACGCCGAGAAAUGUGAGUUUCACCGCUCAACAAUCUCCUUUCUGGGAUAUGUCAUCGCUGCUGGAAAUGUCCAAAUGGAUCAGGAAAAAUUGAAAGCGGUGGUGGAGUGGCCUCAGCCUACGUCCAGUGUGCAGUUGCAACGUAUCCUGGGGGUCGCUAAUUUCUACCGCCGUUUCAUGCGGGGCUCUGGCGGCCCCCCUCUCGGCACUCACCUCUCCCAAAGUUCUGUUCACAUGGUCUCCAGCGGCUGACAAAGCCUUCGUGGACCUGAAACAUCGGUUCACCACAGCACCCAUCCUCGUCCAUCCGUAUCCAUCCCGUCAAUUUGUGGUAGAGGUUGAUGCUUCUGUUAUUGGAGUGGGGGCCAUCCUGUCUCAGCGAUCUGCACAGGACCAGAAGCUCCAUCUUUGUGCCUUCCUGUCUCAUCGUCUCAGUCCGGCAGAGAGUAACUAUGACGUUGGCAACAGAGAACUCCUGGCUGUCAAGUUGAGGCUGGAGGAGUGGAUGAAUUGGCUGGAAGGAGUAGAAGAGCGCUUUGUGGUCUGAACCGACCUGCCUUAACUCCAGGCAGGCCCUGUGGGUUUUUUUGUUCACCAGAUUCAACUUCACCAUUUACUACAGCACAGGGUUAAAAAAUGUGAAGCCGGAGGCCCUCUUCCGCAUAUACAGUUCCUCUACCACACCCUCGGUCUCCGAAACCAUUCUCCCUACCUCAUGCCUUGCUGCUUCAGUGGAUUGGGGUAUUGAAAAAUGUGGUCGCAAGUCACAAUGUUCCCAGCCUGAACCUGAAGGGGGCCAGGCUAACCGAUUAUUUGUUCCUAACUCAGUCCGAUCCCGGUUCCUGGAAUGGGCUCAUUCCUCAAGGCUGACCUGUCAUCCAGUUUCCCGUCGUACCCUAGUCUUCAUCCGACAACGUUUCUGGUGGCCCACAAUGGUUCCUGACGUCUCUGCCUUCGCCACCGAGUGCACAGCUUGUUCUCUCGAUUCUCCAAGGCCGCCCAUUUCAUCCCUCUCCCCAAAUUACCCUCUGCCAAGGAGAUGGCCCAGCUUAUGUUGCAGCACGUCUUCCGGAUCCAUGGACUCCCGGUGGACAUGGUCUCCGACCGGGGUCCUCAGUUCUCGUCACAGUUCUGGAAGGUGUCCUGCUCCCUCAUUGGAUCGUCGACCAGCCUGUCCCCUGGAUUUCAUCUCCAAUCCAACGGCCAGUUGGAGCGAGCCAACUAGGACCUUGAAACCACCCUGAGAUGCCUGGUCUCAACCAACCCCACUACCUGGAGACGACAACUGGUCUGGGUGGCGUAUGCCCGGAACACCCUUCCCUGUUCGGCCAUGGGACUCUCUCCUUUUGAGUGCUCUUUGGGGUAUCAACGUCCACUCUCCACAAGAGCAAGAGGCCAGCGUACCCUCGGCUCAGAUGUUUGUCCACCGACUGUCGAUGUACCUGGAGAAGAGCUCGGGGGGGAAUUCUCAAGACCAACUCCAGGUAUCGUCGAUGAGUUGAACGUCGUCGGACCCCAGCUCCCCGCUACCGUUUUGGGCAUGGCUUUCCACUCGGGACCUGCCCCUUCGGGUGGAGUCCCGCAAAAUGAUCCCCUGUUUCAUUGGUCCUUUUCCCAUCUCUAGAGUCCUUAGUUCCACUGCUGUCCGUCUUGUGUUACCCAGUACCCUCCAUAUUCACCCUACCUUCCAUGUGUCUAGGAUUAAACCCGUGUCUCACAGUCCUUUGUCUUGUUUUUCUAGGCCCAUCCCUCCCCCUGGGUCAUCAAUGACCAGCCAGAAUAUACGGUGAGAUGCCCCUUGAGGGUUCGACUACAGGGUAGGGGUUUCCAGUACCUGGUUGACUGGGAGGGUUAUGGCCCGGAGGAGACGUGCUGGGUCCCUGCUAAAGACAUCCUGGACCCGGCCCUCAUUGACGGUUUUCACCGCCGACACCUCGGUCAGCCAGGUAUGCGCCCAGGGAUGGACGCUGCAAAUUAGCACCAACUUGAUGGGGCAGCUCAGUGUGAACAAGCAAGGUCGGGACAUCACAGACGUGCUGUCGUACCUGAUUCUCCGCAGGACUGAAGACGCUGGUGUCACUCAGACUGUCAGAACUGGAGGAUGAAUCGCUGUAUGACGGCUGAGUCUCCUGAAAUGGAGAGGAAGGGAGUGUGAGGAAGAGAGGGGGAGUAUUUAAAUCAUUUGCCAUUUUGCAUAUAGUGACAUUCUACCAGGUUUCACAAACCUCUCCUUCGAGUACCCCGCAGCCAGUCCACGUCUUCGAUGAACUCCAGAACAAAUGAUCUCCUAAUCAUCAAGCCCUUCAUUUGUUGAAUCAGCAGUGCUAGUUCUGGAAUACAUCAAAUAACUGGACUGGCUGGGGUUACUCCAGAACCGGUUUGGGAAACUCUGGUCUAAACUAUCGGAACUUCCUUUGCAUCACGACAAGGGUGUGUAAGUCUACCUGGGUCAGUGCUGUAGAUUUGAAUGGGUUGACUUUCUGCAUCAUUCCCUUGAACAUCCCAGGGUUCUGAAAAAAAAAACAGGUGAACACAGAAAUCACUUAGUACUGAUAAUAAAAUGUUCCUCUACUAGCCCGGUUCUAUUUCUAUACUAAGAAGGUGUAUGCCUCAGCACCUGGGAUAAACAGGUUUACCUGUUUGCCUGCAGAACUGUUACUCUCAGCCAGACUGCCAGAACUGGAGGAAAGAUCACUGUGUAUGGACUGGGUGUCCUGAAAAAGAAGGCAGAGAGAAAAUAGUCCAUUUGAAUAUUUAGCAUAACUUUGCAACAUGAUACAGGUUGAUCAUAAUCACCACGGCUACCUGAAUCGGUGUUGUAGAUUUGAAAGGGUUGACUUUUUGCAUCAUUCCCAUAAACAUUCCAGGA